GUGCUCAAUUCAGCAGCACAUACACUAAAAUUGGAACAAUACGCAGAAGAAUAGCACGGUCCCUGCACAAGGAUGACAGGCAAAUUCGUGAAGUGUUCCAAAUUUUU